GUCCCCAGACAGUACAACUUUAAAUAGUACCAACACAUAUUGUGCGCACAUGAAAAUGUUAACCAAUCAACACAUAUAAACAUCUGAGUGGCUGAACAUGUACAUGAGUGGAUAGCGUAUAUUUCCCCUAUCAAGCCCUGGAAGGUACACUCAUGCUAAGCAGCCCCUGUAUUUUGUCGGAACAAUAUACUAAAUUGUUUGCAC